rnacentral:rRNA from 1 species
GAUGAACGCUAGCUACAGGCUUAACACAUGCAAGUCGAGGGGCAGCAUUAUCAAAGCUUGCUUUGGUAGAUGGCGACCGGCGCACGGGUGAGUAACGCGUAUCCAACCUACCCUCCAGCAGGGGAUAGCCCGUAGAAAUGCGGAUUAAUACCCUAUGCGGUCGUUUCGUGGCAUCAUGUUACGACCAAAGACUCGUCGCUGGCGGAUGGGGAUGCGUAUGAUUAGGUAGUAGGCGGGGUAACGGCCCACCUAGCCAUCGAUCAUUAGGGGUUCUGAGAGGAAGGUCCCCCACACUGGUACUGAGACACGGACCAG